CUUCAACCCAGAGGCCGCCGCCGCCGGAGAUGAGGGAGGAGGCGCUGGAGCGGCUGUGCGAGGUGGUGUGGGACAGCCCUGGGAGGCGAGAAACACCUCUACACGUCCGUAGCCAGAGAUGAUGGAGGAGGCGCUGGAGCUCCUGCGCGUGGUGGUGCGGGACACGUCGAGCUCCUUCGCAAUGGAGGUUUAAUGUUUUCUGCAGGUUCGUGACUGUCCUUACUAAUGGGCAAUACAUGUUAAAUGUGACCACUACAUCAGUAUAUAGCAAGGCUCUUCGAGAAGCUACAUGCUUCCUUAUUGAUAGGAAUGUCUGUUAUGUACAGUUUCGUCAGAGGUUUGAUGAUAUUGAUAGGAAUGACUGAUAUGCAGACAGGAACACUGUAUUUUCGAUGUAAGAUAGCAUUACUCUUUAAACAUUUUCGAUGUAAGCUAGCAUUACACUGUAUUUUCUGUUUCAUGGUUGUUUAUUCUUUUGAUCAGGAAGGAGAGAGAGGGAGAAUCAGUUAGAAGAAAGAAGAGUACGAAAGCUGAGUAAUUUACCUCAACUUUACUGUCCAUAUUAUUAAGAUCUUUUGAUAAUCGUCCCACUUACUCCUAGGAUGCACAGACUUAAUGGAUCCUGGACUGACAUAUUUAUCACGGGUUUUGGGUUGUCUUCCUUCCCAGUUAUGUUUUACCAGUGGAGACACAGAGAUUGGAGGACAGAAGAGCCCCUAUUGUUGUUCCGUUGUCCCUCCCUCCUUUGCCCAAACCCUAAGACUGAUUUUUUAUUCGUACCUACUGGUUUGGAUGCAGCAUAUGCAGGAUGAGGAUGUCGGGCGGCCGUAUAGGAAGUUCCUCUGAGCAGCGUCACAAUCUGCAGGAGGAUUCCAUUCGGGUUUGCACCAGUUUUGUUUGUCUGAAUCUGAUGGAGCAUUUUGGAAUGUUGAACUGUUGUGUCAGAUCCAAAUGAAUAAGGUGUAAUGACUCGUAUUUUCAAUUACUAAAAUUCAACAUGUUUGAAUUGAUUUGGUUACUUUUUAUGAUAAAAUAGCAGCAUUGUCAUGCACUACUGUUUAUGACUUUAUGCAUGCGCUGUGGACUCUAGGAUAUUCAUGGAGGGGGAAGUCAAUUAUUCAGUUUACUCUUGGAUUGGGGUGUGCGGGUUGCUUUGUGAGGUUACAGUAUGGUGGUAUUCUACAGAUGUGGGUUGCACGAUUUUGCAGGAGAGAGGUUGUUGAAAAGAUAUAGUUAGGAUUCGGUUUGGUGGUUUGGGUUUG
rnacentral:lncRNA from 1 species